AGUUCCAGGUUGCUCUUGGGUGGAGCCCAAGAGAAGACAUAUAUAUGUAUAUUUUUUUAAAUAGAGAUGGGGUCUUUCUAUGUUGGCCAGGGUAGUCUCUAACUUCUGGCAUCAAGAAAUCCUCCUGCCUAAGACCUAUAUUUCUAUUUAUGUUUCAGAUGAGAAACGAAUGAGAAGUGAAUUUUCAUUAAGCCAGUGUCUAAUGGUGUUCAAAUUCAUCUUUGAACCAGAUGCUACAUCCAAAUAGACGGGCUUGGGACAGAAUAUAAGGUGGUGGAUACCAUACAGGCAGACAUUGCCUUCACUGGGCCAUUAGUCAAAAGCUCUGUGGCUUUGUCUGUUCUGAACCUAUGUUUCAUCUCUGAGAUUCAUGGUCUGAGUAUAUUUACUUGGACUUGACCAGGCAUGCAGUAUACCCUUAUCCUGGAGAUGAUCUCAAUGCCAGAGUGUGGAGGCAUUUUCUCUGGCACUAUUUGUCAUCUCUAAAGAAAGAAUCUACUAUUUUAUUAUACUUUUUUGUUUAUUUGUAUAAAUUUAAGGAGCGCAAGUGAAAUUUUAUUACGUGGAUAUUUUGUGUAGUGGUGAAGUCUGGGCU
rnacentral:lncRNA from 1 species